CGCACCAAUACACGAAGAUCACCUGAACCACCCAAAUCCAUGCUAGCCUAUCAAUAAUCUUGAAUUUUCUAAAUUUUCAUUAUGAUUACUAAUUUUGUACUUUACUUUUGCACAUGUUGAAAAUUGUAUGACCUUGUUGCACAUAACCAAAAAGUAUUAGCUUAGGAUUUCUAUGGAUACUUUUGUUUGUGUGCUGUUUGACCAUAUGAUUGUAUGAUAACCAGGAUAUAUGUUCAUUGUUGUAUUGAUAAUAUGACUUGUAUUACCUAUGAGACCCAUCAGGGCAAAUGCCGUUUCAGUGUUAUGGUAAUCCGUGGUGGUUUUAUCUCUAUUAUGGAGUUUCCCCACUCGGUUGGUGGUGUUGAUGAUUUAUUAUACUUUGACUAUGUUUCGGUGUGGUAAAUGGUGUUUAUGAUUUAAAAUAUUAUUGUAUGGUCAUCUGAGAUGACCAAGGAGGGAUUGUUAAGUAUUUUAAGAAGCUGCAUUACCCUCACAUAGCCACUAGGAAGCAGGAUCGAACACUUAAGCUGCAAUAACUACUUUAGCCACAGAUAGCAGCACCUUUAGACAGGGGCGGAGCCAUUACGUCACCCCGGCCACGCCCGAUGCAUAGGCCACGCCCACUUGACGUCCUCUAUCGGGUGAUUCGAAGUGAAGAGGCAGGAGAUCAAUAGGUAGACGGCGGAGAGCCACCGGGCCUAAGCCCGGGGGCUUGAAGUACAUCAAUUCCCUCCCUUAAGCUUCAUAGUUUACCAUACCGAAACAUGCCUACUUUAACAAAUAAAGUGAGUUAAAAGCAACCCGGGAUUGGACUAUUUUCUUCGAAGAAUUCUGCAAUACUUACUUAAUACACGGCUCUCUUUAUGCUGUAGACUGCUCCAUUCACUUGCAUGGGCCUUCCUAACGUUCAGCUGUCAAUUAUUUUUGUUUAUUACACGGCUCUUCUCAAUGCAGUGGAAUGCUCACGUCCACCAUAUUGACCGCUGUCAAGGAAAGUGUUUUUUUUUGCCUCUGAUUCACGUCAUCUGUAUCACUCUGCAGUCCGGUAACUUAUCAACCCCAGCGUAUUCGGUUGCUAAGCGACGUCAAAGACUUAAAGGCUGCGUCCCAUUUCUACCCCUUACCCCUCCCCCUUGGUUUGAAGGGGUAAGGGUGUCCCAAUUCUCAUUUGGGUUAAGGGGUAGGGCGAAGACAAAAGGCUACGUAGCCCUUGAAACGAAGCUAUCCAAGGACCACACUUCAAAGGGAGGGCUUCGAAGAAAAUCCGGCCGAAAAUGCAUUUUUACUAGUUGUUAUCAUUCGGACUCAUGAUGUAAAGUUGACUGUAUAUUCAGCUCGAAGUCAUACACGGACAAUGCGAUCUCUGAGCUCGAUAUAAAACAUGACAUAACGGUAAAUAACCGUUGAACUAUACAUACAAGAUUUUGGCGCUCUCUAGUGGCCAACCGAAAUCGCCAAAUAAACUAACAGCAGCGAUGGCUCAAGCGAAGGACACGCACAAAUGGACACCACAGGAGACCAGACGGCUCAUUAAUUUCAGGGCGACCAGGGACAAUGAGUUCCUAAAAUCGAAAAUGAUCGUCAGAAAACAGUGGGAGUGAGUCUUACGUUGUUCAAACUUUUCAUUCUUGCGUCUGUUUUCUACUUUGGUAUUUCUGUGUUGAGCUCAAUAGCCCACUGCAUGUCUGCAGUGGCGCGGGAAGGGGGGUACUGAGGGUGCUGCAGCACCCUCUAGCUGCAGGAAAAAAAAAAAAAAAAAAGUUGUUCUUAAUUUUUAUAUAUUAAAUAUAUAUAUAUAUUAAAACGAUAUAACAAAUAAUUAGGCUUUGGGGACGAAAAUAGACGUGGGAAAAAUGUGUUUGCUAGUUUUUAGCUAUAACAGGCAUGCAUGGGGAUCUUGCUAUAUGGGGUUCGCGGGUUCACAGGGUUUGCGGAAGUUGUUAAAGAAUAAAGAAGAACGUGAACGAACAGAAUGGCGCAAAAGAGAAUUUUAGAUUUUUUAGACGGAAGUCUACAUUUGGAGUCUUCAAAUAGAUAAGACCAUGCAUUUUUAUUCAUUUUUUGGUUAUUGCUGCCACCGUGCAGAAUCUGUGUACUAGGCAUUGUCAUGUUUGUGGUAUUAGUUUAGUGAGUGUGGACUGUUUGUGCGCGCUCUCUGCCAGGGAAUAUUAAUUGGGGCAAUUGGUCUGGAUUUAAGCUGCUUGGAACCGACGUGGGACGCUCGGAAUCGGGUGGAAAUUAGGCGAUUUCAUGUAUUUGUGACUCUUUUUGUGAGUGUGUGUAUCCGGGACGCCGGUGCCCACGGACUGAAGUUGCAGUGACGGGAUGGUCUCAAUGGCUACCAGAAGGAGGGACGUUAGACCAUCGUUUGAACGUGUUUUCAUUAACUGUGUGUGGGGGGGAAUUUGGGGAGAGAACUGAUUAGAUUGCGUGUUGGAAAUCGUGUGUGGGUUUUGGGGGAAUGUUUUAGAAGCGGUUCUCUCCCGGUGUCCCGAAUACACACACAGUCACAAAUACAUGCAAUCGCCUAUUUCCACCCGAUUCCGAGCGUCCCACGUCAGUUCCUAGCAGCCUAAAUCGAGUCAAUUUGCCCCAAUUUAUAUUCCCCUGUCAGGGAAUAUUAAUUGGGGGCAAUUUGUCUGGAUUUAUGCUGCUUGGAACUGAAAUUAAAAAAUGUAUGUUUAGCACUGCCAAAAGCAGGACUUGUAUUAUGAAAUGCAAUUGAACCGGAAACCUGAAGAUUGUACCAUGCACGGCAUGAGGAAUAAAGCAUUCAAAUUAACUCCGACAUUGCGUAUACCUGGUGAUUUAUUAUAGUCAAGUACAAGUCAGAAUACUUAACGUAGACUUAUUUAAUACUCUGUGUUAAUGACAUAUUCGGCGAUCGGAUGUCGUGGAAAAAAGAGUGUUAGUUUGCAACCGAUAUAUAGGGCAAUUCGAUUUUUUUGUGUGAGCGAGCGCUAGUGAGCGAGAGACCGAGAGUGUUCAAGUUUAUGUCCAAGUUUUUAUUUUCCAUAUGCAACACUUAGCCUAUAUAUUGUGUAUAUAUAAGCAUAUUUUCCCCCCAUGUAAAUACUGUAUCUUAUAUUAUAGACAGUACCGCAGCACCCCCACUCAAAAUACCUUCCUGCGCACCUGCAUGUCUAUGUCGUUAUACUGUACGUUGGUUGUGAUGUAGGCUUUUUCUGGAAGAAAUGGGGGUGGAGGGGAAAGUGACCAGGCAACAGGCUUCUAAGAAGUGGGAGAACCUUAAAAAGAAGUACAAAGUAUGUGUCUAUUUGAAAUAAACAAUUACCAAUUGCCUAGGCCCUAAUGAAUGUAUCAACCAAACGAGACCAUUGUUUUUGUUGUAAUUGAGUAUUUGCUGUGUGUGUGUGUGUGUGUGUGUGUGUGUGUGUGUGUGUGUGUGUGUGUGUGUGUGUGUGUGUGUGUGUGUGUGUGUAAACCUCCAUUACUCGACUCCUGUCUUCAUCAUCCCGAAGGCCCGCUCUAUCACAGAACGCACCUUGGAUUGGCGGUAAUUAAACCGCUGCUACACCCGCCCAAUCACCGGCUCUUUAUAGGGAGUCAACAGACAUACGGGCGUCUGGAGGCAGGGGUACCCACCAUCACCUAAAAGCAUGUAACCCGGCGGUGGAUACCUGGCAGUCAAAUAAAAAUAACUGUUUUUCAUUACCCUUGUCCUUUAUGUUUCUUGGACGGAAUGUAACUGAUAAUUUCGUUGCUCUGUAACAUGUGCAAUGACAACAAAUAAAAUCCUAUCCUAUCCUAUCCUAUCCUAUGGCAAUGUUUUGAUAUGUUGAGGGGGGUGUCUUAUGUCUGCAUAUAUUUGAAAGAGCAUAUGCACAGAAAAGCAGACGGACGGAGUUACAAUAGGGGAUUAUCACGCUUCCGGUGGCGGGAUUUGUCUUCGUUGUGCAUGAACACUUCCGGCGCACUUCAACAAUGGCUGAAACAAAGGCUAGAUGUCACUGCUCUGUUCCACUUUGUACAUCUAACAAACAACACCAACCCUACUUAAGUUUUCAUGGAUUCCCGACUGAAUUGAGUCUAAGGAAGAAGUGGAUUCAAGCGGUUCGCCGGGAUGAAGGGCCAAGUUUUAAAAUAAAACAAGGUAGCACGUUUGUUUGUAGCCGGCACUUUAGUGAAUCAGACUACAAACGCUACAGCUAGCAACCAACCGGGGUCACAACAAGCGACUGAAAAUCGGGUCUGUACCCUCCCGUUUCCAGUGGAACAACUGGGGACUGCCAAGAAGGGGGUCUGUUUAUAAAAGAGCAUCAACUCGCUUAGGCCAUGACGUUCACCCAGCCCUUCCUGUGGAGCAACCGCUGCCCUGUGAAUAAGAGCCGAUGGAGGAGAUCGCAGCUUCGGUGGUGAUGACAGAACAUGAUUUCGUUUCUGCUCCUAAACCAGGUUUGUCAGUGUUUGUUAUUGUUCUGAAAUAUUGGCCUACUAUUACCCCAUACUGUUCUUAAACCACCUACCUGACAGGAUGUGCUACCUAUGGUUUAAUCACAGAAUGGGCUCUUAGUAGGUUAUACCGAGGAGGUAGGUCAACUUUUCAGAAUUCGGGCACAAAAUGUUUAGUCUUAUUAAUGUCCCAGCAUUUGACCAAACCACAAUGUGAAAAGCUUCAUCAAAAGUACAAAUGUUGCAUUUUAUAUCUUACUUAAUUAAUUGUAAAGGUGAAUAUGGAGCUAUAAAAAGCAAAUUUUAAAAGCAAUAUUGAGCUACAAAAAGCAAUUUCUUUAGAGGUCCAAACUGCUUCCAAUAUGCAAGUCACAGCCAAAGUCUGGGUUAGAUGUUUUAAUCUUUAUUCCUCAUCUCAUACAGGUGCACUGGAUGCUGCUGCUGUACACAUACAGCAAUUGGAAGAAACAGUCAAGGAGCUGAUGAGAGCAGUCACAGCUGAAAGUGGUUCAAGUGCCUUUUCACAGAUUUUGUGUCUCAGACGAGGACAUCCUUUUUUACACCAGAUUCACGUCAAGAGAUGUUUUUUGUGACUUCUGGGAGGUUAUUCAACCAUCUGCCUCCAUUGUGGUUUAUUUGUCGAAAGCUCAGAAAAAGAAACAAACAUUUGAACCCAUUUCUCCCAGUCCAACGUGUAGACUGCAACUGGUUGAGUUUUUUCUCUUCUGCUGCCGGGUUGCUGCAGGCCUGCAAGAGAAGGUGCUGGCUGACAUGUUUCAGAGCUGACUGAAUGAAGUGGACUGCUGGAUUUACUGGAGCCAGGAGAUGGCUGCAUGGCAGACAAGGGUUUCACCACCGAGAAGCCACUAGCUGAUCGUGGGGCAACGUUGAUUAUACCACCCUUCAAGAUGACAGAUAGGCAUGAAAGGAAUGAACAUUUCAAAUUAAAACUUUGACCCAAAUGUGACCAUUAAGAUAUGUAGACAAAUGUUUAAGAUGGACUGAAGCACUCACAAUAAUAUUACUAAUUAAUUUAUCUCUAACCACUGCGCAGUUCACUUAAGAGGAUGCUCUGAAAACACAAGAAAUCGCUCGACUUCGAAUCCUCGUAGAAAGAGCAAUAGGCAGAGUCAAGGAAUAACGCAUCUGGGAACGCACUGUCCUCUCACCUUGUCUGCGACAGUCAAUCAGCUGUGGACCGUCUGCUGUGUGAUGACCAACUUCCAGGGACCACUUGAUUUAAAAGGCUACAUCCCUGUUGAAUAGUGUUUCUACUCAAACAUGUACCUAUAAAUAUUAAAUAUAAUAUGUAAAUAUUAAAACGAGAGGCACUGAACAUU